rnacentral:tRNA from 1 species
GGAGAGUAGAGCUCAGAUGAUGAAGUGCAUGCUUAGCAUGCAUGAGGUCCUAGGUUCAAUCCCCAGUACCUCCA